GACGAACGCUGGCGGCGUGCUUAACACAUGCAAGUCGAACGGAAAGGCCCUGCUUGCAGGGUGCUCGAGUGGCGAACGGGUGAGUAACACGUGGGUGAUCUGCCCCUUACUUUGGGAUAAGCCUGGGAAACUGGGUCUAGUACUGGAUAGGACCAUGCUGUAGGUGGUGUGGUGGAAAGAUUGGUUUCGGUAAGGGAUGAGCUCGCGGCCUAUCAGCUUGUUGGUGGGGUAAUGGCCUACCAAGGCGUCGACGGGUAGCCGGCCUGAGAGGGUGGACGGCCACAUUGGGACUGAGAUACGGCCCAGACUCCUACGGGAGGCAGCAGUGGGGAAUAUUGCACAAUGGGCGCAAGCCUGAUGCAGCGACGCCGCGUGGGGGAUGACGGCCUUCGGGUUGUAAACUCCUUUCAGCCAUGACGAAGCCCUUGUGGUGACGGUAGUGGUAGAAGAAGCACCGGCUAACUACGUG
rnacentral:rRNA from 1 species